rnacentral:rRNA from 1 species
CUGGCUCAGGACGAACGCUGGCGGCGUGCUUAACACAUGCAAGUCGAACGAGGAUAUACCAGAGGAGAGCUUCGGCAGGAAUCAGGUAUAUUCGAGUGGCGGACGGGUGAGUAACGCGUGAGCAACCUGUCCCAGACAGGGGGAUAACACUUGGAAACAGGUGCUAAUACCGCAUAAGACCACGGUAUCACAUGGUAGUGGGGUAAAAGGAGCAAUCCGGUUUGGGGUGGGCUCGCGUCCGAUUAGAUAGUUGGUGAGGUAACGGCCCACCAAGUCGACGAUCGGUAGCCGACCUGAGAGGGUGAUCGGCCACAUUGGAACUGAGAGACGGUCCAAACUCCUACGGGAGGCAGCAGUGGGGAAUAUUGGGCAAUGGGCGAAAGCCUGAACCCCCAGCAACGCCGCGUGAGUGAAGAAGGCCUUCGGGUUGUAAAGCUCUGUUAUAGUUGACGAAGGAAGUGACGGUAGGCUAUAAGGAAGCCCCGGCUAACUACGUGCCAGCAGCUGC